rnacentral:rRNA from 1 species
UAUGCGAAAAACAAACCUUAGCUAGCAGUAUCCUGAGUAGGGCGGGACACGAGAAAUCCUGUCUGAAGCUGGGUCGACCACGAUCCAACCCUAAAUACUAAUACCAGAUCGAUAGUGCACAAGUACCGUGAGGGAAAGGUGAAAAGAACUGAGGUGAUCAGAGUGAAAUAGAACCUGAAACCAUUUGCUUACAAUCAUUCAGAGCCCUAUGUAGCAAUACAGGGUGAUGGACUGCCUUUUGCAUAAUGAGCCUGCGAGUUGUGGUGUCUGGCAAGGUUAAGCAAACGCGAAGCCGUAGCGAAAGCGAGUCUGAAUAGGGCGCUUAGUCAGAUGCUGCAGACCCGAAACGAAGUGAUCUAUCCAUGAGCAAGUUGAAGCUAGUGUAAGAACUAGUGGAGGACUGAACCCAUAGGCGUUGAAAAGCCCCGGGAUGACUUGUGGAUAGGGGUGAAAGGCCAAUCAAACUUCGUGAUAGCUGGUUCUCUCCGAAAUAUAUUUAGGUAUAGCGUUGUGUCGUAAUAUAAGGGGGUAGAGCACUGAAUGGGCUAGGGCAUACACCAAUGUACCAAACCCUAUCAAACUCCGAAUACCUUAUAUGUAAUCACAGCAGUCAGGCGGCGAGUGAUAAAAUCCGUCGUCAAGAGGGAAACAACCCAGACUACCAGCUAAGGUCCCUAAAUCUUACUUAAGUGGAAAACGAUGUGAAGUUACUUAAACAACCAGGAGGUUGGCUUAGAAGCAGCCAUCCUUUAAAGAAAGCGUAAUAGCUCACUGGUCUAGUGAUUUUGCGCGGAAAAUAUAACGGGGCUAAAGU